GGAUGGGUGGCCGAGUGGUCGAAGGCGCACGCCUGGAAAGUGUGUAUACGGUUCUCCCGUAUCGUGGGUUCGAAUCCCACUCCAUCCGCCA
rnacentral:tRNA from 1 species